UCCUUUCUCCUUGCUCAUUGUCAGGCUCCAGCCUUUUGAAAAGGCAAGCAUGGGGCAAGCGAGGGACGGCUGAGUCCCCUUGGUUUCUCUGGGCCACCUCGAAACAUAAUGAAGCCUGGCUCCCUGCCAAGGCACGCACGCACACACAUACACACACAGCUUCCUUCUCUGCGUUUCUUUCUCACACACACAACACAUACAUGCCAAAAUGAGCCACCAGCUUCCCAACCAACGCAUCUCCCAAACCCUGGAACUAAACUGCUCAAGGGGAGAGAAGGAAAGCGUCCCAAAUCCUCCUCCAGCCCCCUCUCCAUCUCCCCUGACUUGGGACUGAACGGCCUCUGAUCUCAGGAGAAACUCCCUUCCAAGGAAAACAGUGCCAGGAAAUGCUUCACUGUGAACUGAACUUGUUGAAUUUCUGCCUGCUUCACAGCUUUUGAACUUUAAAGGCACAGAACAGAAGCCAUGCUGGGUGAGGAGAAGAAGUCAGGGUUUGUGUUUUGUGUGCAUGUGCGCAUGUCUGUGUCUUGUGCCUUUGCCUGCUGCUCUUGGCUAUGCGCAGCACCUGUGUCUGAACAAGAACUCGAACCCAGACCUUGCGCCUGUGCCUGCUGCUCCUUGCAAGAUGGGACUACAAGGAUAUAUAUUUUAAAAAAUUGUUAUGGAACAUCCACUUGCAAUUGACUGGUACCAGAGAUAUAGCCAGUACUGGCUUCGCCUCAGGCAACCAAACUUUCCAAAAAUCAAGACAUUAACAGAUGGUGGCAACCACAUGGAGAGAUGAUGUUGCUUAGAGAGAAUCUACUCAUUUCACUCAAGCCGAUAAAGAGUGAAUCCCAGAAGGACACCAUGUAUUCUGAAGAGUUCUGCACUUGGCCCGUUCUUAUCCCUCUCCCUUCUGCUCCCUGUUUCAUCAGCUUCAUUUCUUUUCAUUUUUUUUAGAAAUACAUUUAAAAAAAUAAAAAUAAAACCAAA